rnacentral:tRNA from 1 species
GAGGGUAUAGCUCACUGGUAGAGCACAUGCCUAGCAUGUGCGAGCUCCUGGGUUCAAUUCCCCAGUACCUCCA